CCUACGGGUGGCUGCAGUGGGGAAUAUUGGACAAUGGGGGGAACCCUGAUCCAGCCAUGCCGCGUGUGUGAAGAAGGCCCUCGGGUUGUAAAGCACUUUCAGUGAGGAAGAACGCCUGGUGGUUAAUACCCAUCAGGAAAGACAUCACUCACAGAAGAAGCACCGGCUAACUCCGUGCCAGCAGCCGCGGUAAUACGGAGGGUGCGAGCGUUAAUCGGAACUACUGGGCGUAAAGCGCGCGUAGGUGGCUUGAUAAGCCGGUUGUGAAAGCCCCGGGCUCAACCUGGGAACGGCAUCCGGAACUGUCAAGCUAGAGUGCAGGAGAGGAAGGUAGAAUUCCCGGUGUAGCGGUGAAAUGCGUAGAGAUCGGGAGGAAUACCAGUGGCGAAGGCGGCCUUCUGGACUGACACUGACACUGAGGUGCGAAAUCGUGGGUAGCAAACAGGAUUAGAUACCCCAGUAGUC
rnacentral:rRNA from 1 species